AACCGACUAAUGUUGAAAAAUUAGCGGAUGACUUGUGGCUGGGGGUGAAAGGCCAAUCAAACCGGGAGAUAGCUGGUUCUCCCCGAAAGCUAUUUAGGUAGCGCCUCGUGAACUCAUCUUCGGGGGUAGAGCACUGUUUCGGCUAGGGGGUCAUCCCGACUUACCAACCCGAUGCAAACUACGAAUACCGAAGAAUGUUAUCACGGGAGACACACGGCGGGUGCUAACGUCCGUCGUGAAGAGGGAAACAACCCAGACCGCCAGCUAAGGUCCCAAAGUCAUGGUUAAGUGGGAAACGAUGUGGGAAGGCACAGACAGCCAGGAUGUUGGCUUAGAAGCAGCCAUCAUUUAAAGAAAGCGUAAUAGCUCACUGGUCGAGUCGGCCUGCGCGGAAGAUGUAACGGGGCUAAACCAUGCACCGAAGCUGCGGCAGCGACGCUUAUGCGUUGUUGGGUAGGGGAGCGUUCUGUAAGCCUGCGAAGGUGGCCUGUGAGGGUUGCUGGAGGUAUCAGAAGUGCGAAUGCUGACAUAAGUA
rnacentral:rRNA from 1 species